GCGUUGUAUGUGAUGAAGACGUUAUUCAUAUAUCUGUGCGUUUGUGUGUCCGCGUGUAUCCGUGUGCGUCUAGUAGCAAUGGACGAACCUGUCGUCAUCGCAGAGGCAGGGAUGCACUGCACGCCUGCCGGUAUCCUUCAGCAAUUCGGAAGUAGAAUGACACCGUUUGAACAUAAUGAAGUCACACUCUACGAGCACAUCUAUUAUUUCAGGAUCCGUCGGGCAUCAGACAGUUCUUUGAAUGCUGUCCAUAAUUCCGAAAGUCACCACUACAGUUUGGUCAACGAUGAGCAUCUGGCAUAUAGGUACCAGGUCCUGAGUGUGCUCGGAGCGGGAGCAUAUGGCCAGGUGAUCCGAUGCCUGGAUCACAAACAUAAGCGAGAAGUAGCCGUGAAAAUGCUGCAGCACGAAUCACAGUGAGUUUCUAACGAAAUGUGUUAAUGCGGCCACCGUGUUUCUCAACGUGCAGUACUACGAGCGGGGUGAGACUCGUUCACCACUUUUCUCUCCGCAGCGCCAAGCCGUACCAUUCCAAAAGGGAGGUGCGGAUGCUUAAAGCGUUGCAGUCGAAAGAGCAAAACAACAACUACGUCAUCAAACUCCUCAACACCUUCACCUUCAGGGGCCAUUUCAGUCUGGUCCUUGAGCUUUUGACGUGAGUUGUUGUGGGCGUCGCUCCUCCGCCCUCCGUUGUUGCUGGAGGGCGACUGCCUCCAACUGCCCAGUAGCAGCGUCCUUCACGAGCCUCCUCCCAGCAACAUACAUACACAUAACACAAUGCAUCUGAAU